GAACGUGCCCAUGUCGUGGGGGAUAACGUAGCGAAAGCUACGCUAAUACCGCAUACGUCCUGAGGGAGAAAGCGGGGGAUCUUCGGACCUCGCGCGAUUGGAGCGGCCGAUGUCGGAUUAGCUAGUAGGUGAGGUAAAGGCUCACCUAGGCGACGAUCCGUAGCGGGUCUGAGAGGAUGAUCCGCCACACUGGGACUGAGACACGGCCCAGACUCCUACGGGAGGCAGCAGUGGGGAAUUUUGGACAAUGGGGGCAACCCUGAUCCAGCCAUUCCGCGUGAGUGAAGAAGGCCUUCGGGUUGUAAAGCUCUUUCGGCAGGAACGAAACGGCGGGCUCUAACAUAGCCUGUUAAUGACGGUACCUGAAGAAGAAGCACCGGCUAACUACGUGCCAGCAGCCGCGGUAAUACGUAGGGUGCGAGCGUUAAUCGGAAUUACUGGGCGUAAAGCGUGCGCAGGCGGAUUGUUAAGCAAGACGUGAAAUCCCCGGGCUUAACCUGGGAAUGGCGUUUUGAACUGGCAGUCUAGAGUGCGUCAGAGGGGGGUGGAAUUCCACGUGUAGCAGUGAAAUGCGUAGAGAUGUGGAGGAACACCGAUGGCGAAGGCAGCCCCCUGGGAUGACACUGACGCUCAUGUACGAAAGCGUGGGUAGCAAACAGGAUUAGAUACCCUGGUAGUCCACGCCCUAAACGAUGUCAACUGGUUGUUGGGGGAGUGAAAUCCCUUAGUAACGAAGCUAACGCGUGAAGUUGACCGCCUGGGGAGUACGGUCGCAAGAUUAAAACUCAAAGGAAUUGACGGGGACCCGCACAAGCGGUGGAUGAUGUGGAUUAAUUCGAUGCAACGCGAAAAACCUUACCUACCCUUGACGUGUCCGGA
rnacentral:rRNA from 1 species